UACGUAGGGCGCAAGCGUUGUCCGGAAUUAUUGGGCGUAAAGAGCUCGUAGGCGGUGUGUCGCGUCGGAUGUGAAAAGCCCGGGGCUUAACCCCGGGUCUGCAUUCGAUACGGGCAGACUAGAGUGUGGUAGGGGAGAUCGAAUUCCUGGUGUAGCGGUGAAAAUGCGCAGAUAUCAGGAGGAACACCGGUGGCGAAGGCGGAUCUCUGGGCAUUACCUGACGCUGAGGAGCGAAAGUGUGGGGAGCGAACAGG
rnacentral:rRNA from 1 species